rnacentral:rRNA from 1 species
AACGAACGCUGGCGGCAUGCCUAACACAUGCAAGUCGAACGAGACCUUCGGGUCUAGUGGCGCACGGGUGCGUAACGCGUGGGAAUCUGCCCUUGGGUUCGGAAUAACAGUUAGAAAUGACUGCUAAUACCGGAUGAUGUCUUCGGACCAAAGAUUUAUCGCCCAAGGAUGAGCCCGCGUAGGAUUAGCUAGUUGGUAGGGUAAAGGCCUACCAAGGCGACGAUCCUUAGCUGGUCUGAGAGGAUGAUCAGCCACACUGGGACUGAGACACGGCCCAGACUCCUACGGGAGGCAGCAGUGGGGAAUAUUGGACAAUGGGCGAAAGCCUGAUCCAGCAAUGCCGCGUGAGUGAUGAAGGCCCUAGGGUUGUAAAGCUCUUUUACCCGGGAUGAUAAUGACAGUACCGGGAGAAUAAGCCCCGGCUAACUCCGUGCCAGCCGCCGCAGUAAGAC